AAUGAACGUUAGCGGCAUGGAUUAGGCAUGCAAGUCGAGCGAGAAGUGUAGCAAUACACGGAAAGCGACGGAAGGGAGAGUAAUACGUGGGAAUCUGCCCUUAGACCUGGGAUAGCAGCGGGAAACUGCUGGUAAUACCAGAUAAUGUCUAUGGACCAAAGGUGUGAUUCCGUCUAGGGAUGAGCCCACGUCCUAUUAGCUAGUUGGUAGGGUAAUGGCCUACCAAGGCGAUGAUGGGUAGCGGGUGUGAGAGCAUGACCCGCCUCACUGGGACUGAGACACUGCCCAGACACCUACGGGUGGCUGCAGUCGAGAAUCUUCGGCAAUGGGCGCAAGCCUGACCGAGCGAUGCCGCGUGCGGGAUGAAGGCCUUCGGGUUGUAAACCGCUGUCGAGGGGGAGCAACUUCCAUAGAGUUAUCUUUAUGGAUUGAGUGAUCCCUGGAGGAAGGACGGGCUAAGUUCGUGCCAGCCGCCGCAGUAAAAC
rnacentral:rRNA from 1 species